rnacentral:rRNA from 1 species
UUGCUCUUCAACGAGGAAUGCCUAGUAAGCGCAUGUCAUCAGCAUGCGUUGAUUACGUCCCUGCCCUUUGUACACACCGCCCGUCGCUACUACCGAUUGAAUGGCUCAGUGAGGCCUUCGGACUGGCCCAGGGAGGUCGGCAACGACCANCCCAGGGCCGGAAAGUUCGUCAAACUUGGUCAUUUAGAGGAAGUAAAAGUCGUAACAAGGUCUCCGUAGGUGAACCUGCGGAGGGAUCAUUACUGAGUGAGGGCCUUCUGGUCCGACCUCCAACCCCAUGUUAUCCGACACUGUUGCCUCCGGGGCGACCCGGCCUUCGGGCGUCGGGGCCCCGGGUGGACCAUUCAAACACUGCAUCUUUGCGUCUGAGUACACGAUUGAAUCAAUCAAAACUUUCAACAACGGAUCUCUUGGUUCUGGCAUCGAUGAAAAACGCAGCGAAAUGCGAUAAGUAAUGUGAAUUGCAGAAUUCAGUGAAUCAUCGAAUCUUUGAACGCACAUUGCGCCCCUUGGUAUUCCGAGGGGCAUGCCUGUUCGAGCGUCAUUUCACCACUCAAGCCUGGCUUGGUAUUGGGCGCCGCGGUCCGCCGCGCGCCUUAAUGUGUCCGGCUGAGCCGUCCGUCUCUAAGCGUUGUGGUAACCUAUCCGCUUGCGAGAUCGGGGGGCGUCUGGCCGUUAAACUCAUUCAAAGGUUGACCUCGGAUCAGGUAGGGAUACCCGCUGAACUUAAGCAUAUCAAUAAGCGGAGGA